rnacentral:rRNA from 1 species
AUUGAACGCUGGCGGCAGGCUUAACACAUGCAAGUCGAACGAGUGGCGGACGGGUGAGUCAUGCUUGGGAAUCUAGCUUAUGGAGGGGGAUCACUACGGGAAACUGUAGCUAAUACCGCGUACCAUAGGAUGAGCCCACGUGGGAUUAGGUAGUUGGGGGGGUAAAGGCUCACCAAGCCGACGAUCUCUACCUGGUCUGAGAGGAUGACCAGCCACACUGGGACAGAGACACGGCCCAGACUCCGACGGGAGGAAGCAGUGGGGAAUAUUGCGCAAUGGGGGCAACCCUGACGCAGCCAUGCCGCGUGUAUGAAGAAGGCCGUAGGGUUGUAAAGUACUUGCAGCGGGGAGGCGUUACCCGCAGAAGAAGCACCGGCUAACUCCGUGCCAGCAGCCGCGGUAAUUC